rnacentral:lncRNA from 1 species
CUGAUGCUUUCCUCUAGCAAGAAUAGGGCGAGUCUUUCUUCUCCUUGCAUCCGCCCAGCUUUUGUUCUUUGGUUGUUCCAAUUCUGUGAGUUGUCUUCUAUCUGUUCCCUUUCUUAAAAUCUGUUAUUUGUGUGUAUCUUCUUGCCUUUGUUAAUUUUGUUUUUGUUUUUCGGAUUUGCCUGUUGAUCGCCUAAUGGGUUCCCAUUUGCAUGCAAUUGAUGUUUUGUCGAUCUAUGUUAUUGAUGGCACAUCCUUGGUUUGUAGUUUGUUUUUCCUUUCCUUUGGGUUCUUGAUGGGUCGAUUUUGUAUCCUGGGGUUUCGUUUGAUUUGAUAAAUUAAUGUGUUUUUUUUCAAUCCCUGUGGUAUUUCUCAUGGGCGAUGUUGCAUGCUAUGAUUUUGGAUGGGUGGCGUGUUUGAUUAUUCUUAUUGCAGGUUCAUAUAGAUUCUUUGUUGUUUUUAUUUUGGAUCCCUGAUGUUUGUUGGUUUUUUAAUCUGCAGUGUAUGUUAGAUUAUGACAUGUUUCUUUUAUCUUUUUAAUUUGUGGUUGCUGAUGUCUCAGUUAUCUUUUAUGUCUUCCCCUGUGUGUGUGUUGUAGCUGAUUCAAGUUGAC